rnacentral:rRNA from 1 species
AUUGAACGCUGGCGGCAUGCCUUACACAUGCAAGUCGAACGGCAGCACGGGAGCAAUCCUGGUGGCGAGUGGCGAACGGGUGAGUAAUAUAUCGGAACGUGCCCAGUAGUGGGGGAUAACUGCUCGAAAGAGCAGCUAAUACCGCAUACGACCUGAGGGUGAAAGGGGGGGAUCGCAAGACCUCUCGCUAUUGGAGCGGCCGAUAUCAGAUUAGCUAGUUGGUGGGGUAAAGGCCUACCAAGGCAACGAUCUGUAGUUGGUCUGAGAGGACGCACGGCCACACUGGGACUGAGACACGGCCCAGACUCCUACGGGAGGCAGCAGGGGGGAAUUUUGGACAAUGGGCACAAGCCUGAUCCAGCAAUGCCGCGUGCAGGAAGAAGGUCUUCGGGUUGUAAACUGCUUUUGUCAGGGAAGAAAUCCUCUAGGUUAAUACCCUUGGGGGGAUGACGGUACCUGAAGAAUAAGCACCGGCUAACUACGUGCCAGCCGCCGCCGUAAAAC